GGAGCUGCGGCCCACACCGGGCAGCCUGAGUCCCAUAGGGCGGGACAGCAGGGCGGGGGCUGUGGCACCAGCCGAGCUCCCGACCCUGCGCCACUUGAGACCCCAGAUUUCCUCUGGCAUGCAGCCUCAUGGAGCAUCUAGUUGCUCAGCUUGGUGCAGUAUGGAAAGCCCGGAGCUGCGGCUUUGCUGGAAAGCCAGAUCCGGUUAGGAUCUCUUUAGUAGCCUCUUUGCUGCGGUGGUUUCCAAGCAAGUACACCUGUGCUUGCUGCCUUCAGUCUGUGGCCGGGAAAGAAAGUGUCUUGACCACAGAAUCAGUGGGCAGUCCUGAGGCAUUGCUGGAUUGCUCUCCCAGCAUCUCUCUAAAAUACCGUGACCUUGGGAGUGGUUCUGAGUCCUGGGGUGGCCGAGUGGGCUUAUAUGCUUCUGCCUCUGGAGGCAGGGGAUGGGGAACAAAGAGAAGAUUCUCUGGGGACGGCUUUCCAGAGUGAGAGGCAAAGUUUCCAGAGGUGUCACAGAGACAAAAAUCCA
rnacentral:lncRNA from 1 species